UGGACAUGUGGCUUCUUUGGAGUUCUUUUGAGAGUGAUGUGUUUCCAUGAGCCUCAAAUCAACUGAAAGUGAAGCUCCCAGAGGUGGGUGAGUCCCACCUGCCUCCAUGCUCCUGGAUAGCACAACCUGAAUGUGUUGGAAUUUGGCUGAAAUGCUGCAAUUAGUAAUCUUUUUCCCGCAAAAGAAAGUAGGAUGCAGCUACUGGCUCAGCAGCAGCACAUGCAGCAGUUCAGGCGCUCUUCAGAGCUUGCUGCCUGAAACUCUGUCCUGGUCCCACCUGACCUGCGUAGCUCAUGAAAUCUGAUGGUAUUUCUCAAAGCCAGAACUCAGAAUUUCUCCAGCAGAAGAUAUUAUAGCCUUGGCCUGCUUUUUACCUGGCUUCCUUCCUUGUGGCAUGGCUGGAAAAGGACUAUGUGUAAGACUGAUGAAGUCCACACCAAAGUAGAGCUUUCUUUAAAUGCCUUCAAGGCUUGAAAACUGAAGAUUGCCAUAAGGCUUGUUGGAGUUCUUCAUUAAUCCAGAAUCUGCAUCAAAUGAUCUGUAGUAUGCUGCAGCACAUAAAGGUUUCAAAGCAACAAUUACUCUAUUAUUUCAGUAGAGAUUACCUGUUUGAAAUGAAAACCCACACUGAAUCCUUUCUGACCUGGUCCUUACUGUGAUACUGAUAACAAGCCACACUUUCCAGUCUUUAUCUUACCUCCUACAGGGUAAUCUUUUCUUCUGGAGCUUAAUUCUGCUAAUAGCACCCUUGACUGGGUGCCAGACAACAAACAUAAGCAGGUGAAAAAUGAAUGGCUCCAGUCUGACCGCUGAUAACUGCUAGAAACUUUUUAUUCUUGGAAUUCCCUCCAAAAUAUACAAGUUGACUGGUGGGUAAUCAAUUACAUUCCUUGUAUGCUUCACCCUCCUUCAGACUGGUUAUUCUUUGAAAGAAAUUGUGAUGAUCUUUUCUACAGUUUCAGAUUCUCUUUUUUUCCCUCUUCCUCCAAACAACAGUAAAUAGUAAUUCCAGAUG